UCAUGGGCGAUGGCCUGAACCAGCCNAGUAGCGUGAAGGAUGAAGGCUCUAUCCGGUCGUAAACUUCUUUUAUACGGGAAUAAAGUGAGGCACGUGUGCCUUUUUGUAUGUACCGUAUGAAUAAGGAUCGGCUAACUCCGUGCCAGCAGCCGCGGUAAUACGGAGGAUCCGAGCGUUAUCCGGAUUUAUUGGGUUUAAAGGGAGCGUAGGCGGACGCUUAAGUCAGUUGUGAAAGUUUGCGGCUCAACCGUAAAAUUGCAGUUGAUACUGGGUGUCUUGAGUACAGUAGAGGCAGGCGGAAUUCGUGGUGUAGCGGUGAAAUGCUUAGAUAUCACGAAGAACUCCGAUUGCGAAGGCAGCCUGCUGGACUGUAACUGACGCUGAUGCUCGAAAGUGUGGGUAUCAAACAGGAUUAGAUACCCUGGUAGUCCAAGGGCGAAUUC
rnacentral:rRNA from 1 species